ACUUGGAUCAGAAAAACCGGGUACGGUAACCGACCCAUGAAAACAAAAGCAAGUAGCUAGCUAGCUAGGGUUUCUUUCACUAUAAACAGACAUUCCUAAUUGAAUUCCCUUCACUUGCUUUCGGAAGUCCAGUCGUCGUCACCAUGAGAGCCAAGUGGAAGAAGAAGAGAAUGAGGAGGUUGAAGAGGAAGCGCCGAAAGAUGAGACAACGAUCCAAGUAGAUGAUGAUGCUUUCAUGUCGGUGUUGAUUUACCCUUUUCGUUUAUGUUUUGAUACUCGCUUAUCUUCUACGAAUUAUGUAGUGCUAUUUGGUUAUGGAGUUUUCUCUGUUUGCUUACUAUAUCAGCUCUUCUUCACAUUAAUUGUCUCAAAUGUUAUUGAUGUUU